rnacentral:misc_RNA from 1 species
GUAGGUGAACCUGCGGAAGGAUCAUUAGCAAGUCCUGCUGUGCGUGCACGCGUGCGAAAGCAUCUGCAUGCGCACAUCCGUCCCGUGCGCACCCCCGCUCUGCGCACGACAUUUCUGCGAGUGUCUGAUUGUCGCUGCCAGCAAGCAUACAAACUUUUAACAAUGGAUCUCUAGGCUCUC